rnacentral:rRNA from 1 species
AUCCUGGCUCAGGAUAAAACGCUGGCGGCGCACAUAAGACAUGCAAGUCGAACGGAAGUCGUUAUAAAUGAAUUGAAGAUUUAUCUGAUUGAAGUUUGUAACAAUGGCUUUAGUGGCGGACUGGUGAGUAACGCGUAAGUAAUCUACCUAUUAGAGGGGAAUAACAAUGAGAAAUCAUUGCUAAUACCGCAUAUGCCAUAGUGAAGGCAUCUUCAUAGUGGGAAAGGAGCAAUCCGCUAAUAGAUGAACUUGCGUCUGAUUAGUUAGUUGGUGGGGUAACGGCCUACCAAGACGACGAUCAGUAGCCGGACUGAGAGGUUGAACGGCCACAUUGGGACUGAGAUACGGCCCAGACUCCUACGGGAGGCAGCAGUCGGGAAUAUUGCGCAAUGGAGGAAACUCUGACGCAGUGACGCCGCGUAUAGGAAGAAGGUUUUCGGAUUGUAAACUAUUGUCGUUAGGGAAGAAAAAUGACAGUACCUAAGGAGGAAGCUCCGGCUAACUACGUGCC